UUGAUGACACUUGCGUGACGUCACGCCGGGUGACUUUUUUUACAAGGGUCAUUUGCAUGGCGACCGCCCGAUGCGCUGACAAGGCGGGGGCAAUUUGCCAUCCACCCGUGAACAAGUAGCUCGCAGACGCUAGCUCACGGCAAACAGGUUGUCGAAUCGUUCCGCAGCGGGUGUAAUUUAUUUGUGCAAAACUCUCGUCGUUUGAAUUUCUCUUAAUUUAUAUCAAGCUAAAUAUGUUGAUGUACAAACGUUUACUGUCUGUCACAGGGGGAGGCAGUUUUCUACCCCAAAUAUUUUAAUCCAAAGCAAAACACUUUGCGAGGGUGGGGUGAGGGGGGGGGGGGGUUCUUGUUUUGUUUUUAAACUGAGGAACGCAUUUUAUUUGGACGGUUGUCUUGAGUAUUGUUUGCUGCUUUACAUUGGAACCGAAAUGACGACGGAUGAGAAAAGGGACGAAAGGUCGUAGGAGAGAGUAGAAAAAAGAUUGGCUCCCAUCCGCCCGUUGCUUUUGGAUGAAUUCCCUUUGAGAUCAAAUGAAUAUUGUAGGUUGAGUUGAAAAGAAAAAAAGUUGAGGCAAGUUAGGAAUAACUGUUGAUGUUAACCUCGGCAAGCUUCCAAGCUCAUGUUUCCUCUUCUUCUUCCUUUUCGGGGUCACAUUUUGUACACUGUUGACAUGCGUGUGCCCGAUGGAGACAUUUGGACACAAUUGGCACCAUUGGAAUAUGCGUCGUAAAUGGGGGUGGGGGUGGACGCAUUGAUUCGGAAUAUAGGGCUCGGAAUGAUACAUAUCACAUCAGGUAUAUGAGAUAUGUCUCACUUGUAACGUCCACGGAAACUGACGGACAGUCCAACCAAUGGGAUGAACAUGAAAUGAAAAUGGUGGACGGCUGCUAAACCUGGAAAACAAACGUGCUCAAAUCACGUCAUAAACGCCUGCCGUUUGCAUCGGUGAAGCUCCAAAUCGGAUAACUAGUGUCAAAGUGAUUUUUUUUUUCUAAAAUGACCUCUUAAGCUAAACGAAGUUAGCAUUAGCUUCGGACGCGAAAGGUUUCAAGAUGCAGAAAGCGCUUUUUUUUUUUUUUUUUUUUUUGCCCACGCUCAAAUGUUCCUGGAAUUGUUGUCAAUGUUCCGACUGUGGAGAAAGUAUAUACACUGACCCGUCGUUAUGUUUACCAAAAUGAAGGAUGCACUGGACCAGUUCAGUAGAAGACAAGUUUUGCCUUUUAAUCAAGAGUUGUCGUUAGAUCUGCGCGAUAAGCUAGCAUGAGCAAAUGAGAGCUAGCAGACAACAAAAAGGAUUACAUUUGAACCAAUCAAUGAUUCACUUUUGGGUUUUCUUUUUGCCUUUACACGCCACCCACGAUGGAUUUGAUGCGACGACUUUAAGCUUUGACGGCUACGGAAAAUGUCCGCCGCCUAGCGCUUUUGUGUCGAGUCCAUUUUCAGGGGCUGCUUUGACAUAAUUAUCAAAGUAAAUAUUCCUUUUAUUUGCCUUCAAAAUGUCCAUAAUUGCAUUUUUUUACAGUAACCUUAAAUGCUGAAUGUUUUAUUUCAUAGUCCCUCGUGACGGUGUGGAAAAACAAAAUGAUCAAAACUCUCAGCUCUCCAAAUAGCUGGACCUAACCGUAAAAGACACACUAAAUGAGUUUUUGAUUUGUGUGUUUUGUUUUUAAGUGCUUUUUCUGGCAAUAUGCAAAUGACUUCGGCGGGUGGAAUCGUCCAUAUCGGCAUCGACUGUUGGUGAACACGCGUGCGUUCGCGAGCCCCAAAGUUGAAUUGUGGAACGUCACAAAGCUCUGUUGGGUCGAGGCGAGCUGAUUCUCAAAAGUGUUUUGCUUCUACUUUUCUCACUUAUGGUUUUGCUCAUGGCUACUGUGCAACUUGAAACAUUGUUUUGUUUUGGUUUUGUUUGUCAAUGAUGCUGUAAAAGAAAAGACAUCUGUCCGGGGUCCACUUUUAAUAUAUGUUGUUGGUUUUCA